rnacentral:rRNA from 1 species
UUAUCAACUAAUAAGAGCAGUUAGUGGAUGCCUUGGCGAUACAAAGCGAUGAAGGACGUAAUAUAUACGAAAGCCCAUACUACUUUAAUGCGUAGUGAUGGGCGUAUCCGAAUGAGGAAACUUAAUCUUUUGAAAAAUAGAUUUGUUAUUAUUGAAUACAUAAAUAAUAAACAGCUAACCUGUUGAAGUGAAACAUCUCAGUAAACAGAGGAAAAAAAAGCGAAAGCGAUUUUCUUAGUAGUGGCGAGCGAAACGAAAUUAAGUCCAAACUAAAAAUCUGUAUAUUUACAAUAUACAUUGUUUUAGGGUUGUAGGUAUAAUCUUAUUAGAUCUUAUGUUUUUAUAUACAUGAAUUUUUUGGAAAAAAAAGCCUUAGAGAGUUAAAGCCUUUUAAAUCGUAUAGAAACAGUAAUUUUUAUGUCCAUAGAUUAUAACCUGAGUAAUACGUUAUACGUGAAGUUACGUAUGAAGUAACGCAGACCAUUGCGUAAGACUAAAUAUUAAGUAUCGACCGAUAGUGAACUAGUACCGUGAGGGAAAGGUGAAAAGUACCCUAGAAAAGGGAGUGAAAUAGAACCUGAAACUAACUGCUUACAAGCGGUCAAAGUCUUUUUUUAGAGAUAAUGGCGUACCUUUUGCAUAAUGGGUCUGGGACUUAUUAUUUAAAGCAAGCUUAAGGUUUUUUCAAACUGGAGGCGGAGUGAAAGCUAGCUUUAACAGAGCGUUUUUAGUUUUGAGUAAUAGACCCGAAACGAAGUGAUCUACCCAUGAUCAGGUUGAAGUUUAGGUAAAACUAAAUGGAGGACCGAACCGGUAAACCUUGAAAUGUUUUCGGAUGAAUUGUGGGUAGGGGUGAAAGGCCAAUCAAACUUCGUAAUAGCUGGUUCUCCCCGAAAUAUAUUUAGGUAUAGCCUUCCACGCUUAUAAUUGGGGGUAGAGCACUAAAAAAAUUAGGGCUUUAAACCAAAGUACCGAAUUUUAUUAAACUCCGAAUACCAAUUAAUGUAGUGGAGGAGUCAGACAGUGGGGGUAAGCUUCAUUGUCGAGAGGAAAACAGUCCAGAUUGUAAAAUAAGGCCCCUAAACUACAACUAAGUGUUUUAAAGGAAGUAAUUUUACAAAGACAGUAGGGAUGUUAGCUUAGAAGCAGCAAUCAUUUAAACAGUGCGUAAUAGCUGACCUACCGAGUAAUUUUGCACCGAAAAUGAUCGGGACUAAGUUGUAUGCCGAAUUUACAAACUUAAUUAUUUUUUAAAUUAAGUGGUAGGGGAGCGUUCUAAAUGAGUUGAAGUUUUCAAGAAAUUGUUUAUGGAUUGUUUAGAAGUGAGAAUCCAGACAUAAGUAACGAAUUUAUGGUGUAAAUCCAUUUCGCCGUAAGGAUAAGGUUUUCUAAGCAAGGUUCGUCCUCUUAGAGUUAGUCGAUAUCUAAGACGAGGCUAUUAGCGUAGUCGAUGUGCAAUAGGUUAAUAUUCCUAUACUAGUUAUACAUUUAUAUUUUAAAAAGUGACGAAAAAAGCUAAUUUAAGUGUAGAGCUGAUAUACUACAUUGAAGUACCUAUUGAACUAUAGUUUUAACUAUAGUUAAAAGAAGUACGAAUAGUUUUUAAUUUAAUUAAAGAAUUAAAAAUUUAAACAUGCUAAAUUUCCAAGAAAAGCUUUUUAAAAGGUGUAUUAACUAAUCGUACCGCAAACCGACACAGGUAUCCGAGAUGAAUAUUCUAAGGCGUGCGAGUUAAAUUUUCUUAAGGAACUCGGCAAAAUUGCUCUGUAUCUUAGGUAAAAAGAGUGCCUUUUUAUAAGGUUGCAGUCAAAAGACCCAAGCGACUGUUUAGCAAAAACACAGCUCUCUGCUAAAUCGAAAGAUGAUGUAUAGAGAGUGACACGUGACCAAUGCGGAAAGGUGAAAUCUUAAUGUUUAAGCAUAAAGUUUAAGCCCCCGUGAAUGUCGGCCGUAACUAUAACGGUCCUAAGGUAGCGAAAUUCCUUGUCGGGUAAAUUCCGACCUGCACGAAUCGUGUAACGACUUGGGUGCUGUCUCAAGAAAAUGCUCGGUGAAAUUGUAGUCGCUGUGAAAAUGCAGCGUACCUGCAGAAGGACGGAAAGACCCUAUGAACCUUUACUGUAUCUUAAUAUUGAUAUUUAAGGGUUAAUGCGUAGCAUAGGUGGGAGGUUAUGAUGAUUGAUUUUAGGAUUAAUUUGAACCGUUAGUGAAAUACCACCCUUUAAUUUUUAAAAAUCUAACCUUCUUCUAUUACUAGAAGAGGGACAGUGUUAGGUGGUCAGUUUGACUGGGGCGGUCUCCUCCUAAAGAGUAACGGAGGAUCACAAAGGUAUUUUCAAAUCGGUCAGUAAUCGAUUGUUGAGCGUAUGGGUAUAUAAAUGCUUUACUGUAAGACAUACAAGUCGAGCAGUUGCGAAAGCAGGUCCAAGUGAUCCGGUAGUUGGGGAUGGAACCGCUAUCGCUUAAAGAAUAAAAGGUACUCUAGGGAUAACAGGCUUAUCACGCCCAAGCGUUCACAGCGACGGCGUGGUUUGGCACCUCGAUGUCGACUCAUCACAUCCUGGGGCUGAAGAAGGUCCCAAGGGUUCGGUUGUUCGCCGAUUAAAGUGGUACGUGAGUUGGGUUCAGAACGUCGUGAGACAGUUCGGUUCUCUAUCCUCUGUAGGCGUUGAAAAUUUGAGGAAUUCAUUUUUUAGUACGAGAGGACCAAAAAUGACGUACCUAUGGUGUAUCGGUUGUUCUGUCAAGGGCAUGCCGAGUAGCUAAGUACGGAAAGAAUAAGUACUGAAAGCAUCUAAGUACUAAGUUAUUUCCAAGAUUAAAUUUUCUUAAAGUAAAUAUACUUUUAUAGAAUCCUAAAAGACGAUUAGGUUGAUAGGUUAUAGGUGUAAUCGCGGUAACGCGUUUAGCUUUAUAAAAACUAAUAAUUCUAAGGUUUAUAAAC